CCUGAGGGCAAGAGCCUCCCUGGAAGGGAACAAGGAUGAGGACACUUCGCAAGGUCUCCAAGUCUUUGGGAGAACUUGGCAAGAGGGAAAAGUGAUUAAUUAGGGAGAAAGAGUACAGUCAUUUCUUUGAAGAGUGAGUGGCCUAGCAUCCCAAGUAAAGUAGUGUUGAAAGAGCCAUUGUAAAGGGUUGGGCUGCUUUCCAAAAGGCAGUCCAAGUUCUCUUUGGAUCGUGGGUGCUGACUGAACUGUGGAAACAAGCUCGAUCUGCGCUGCUGCUGCUGCAUAUUAUGAAAGUGUGGUGAAAGACUUCUGCAACUUGAGCUAUGUCCUUUGGACACAGGGAGGUACACGGAGCGAUGCCUGGUCCUUGCCUCUUCACUUGUCGUCCUUACUUCCAUACUGAUUCUGGAGGAACCAGAGAAGAAUAAUAAAAGGGAAAGAAGAAAAACAGCAACAACAAGGAAAAGUACUAAAGACAUAGACCACUUCCUCUACUUUUUGUUUUUCAAAGGGUUCUGAGGCCAAGUCUGUCCUGGUUUGAGGGAAAAGGAAUAAACUUUGAAUUGAAUGAGAAACACAAAUUUGCUAAUAAAUUAAAUGAGGUCUUUCAAUAUCUGAAAUGAUCAUAGAUCUAAAAGUGACACAAAAAGUUAUAAAAUCUUUUAUGUUAAUUAUACACUUUGGUUUGUGACAAUUCAUUGAACUAUAUACAUAGGAUAUGGACACUUUUCUGUAUUAUAUUUCAAUAAAAAUUUAUUUUU